CUACGGGCCGCUCCAGUGGGGAAUAUUGGACAAUGGGGGAAACCCUGAUCCAGCAAUGCCGCGUGUGUGAAGAAGGCCUGCGGGUUGUAAAGCACUUUCGGUUGGGAGGACUGCUUCUAGCACUAAUAUUGUUGGAAGUUGACGUUACCUUCAGAAGAAGCACCGGCUAACUCCGUGCCAGCAGCCGCGGUAAUACGGGAGGGUGCAAGGGUUAAUCGGAAUUACUGGUCGUAAAGCGCGCGUAGGCGGCUAGAUCAGUCGGGUGUGAAAGCCCCGGGCUUAACCUGGGAACUGCAUCCGAUACCGUCUAGCUUGAGUACAGGAGAGGAGAGUGGAAUUCCACAUGUAGCGGUGAAAUGCGUAGAUAUGUGGAGGAACACCAAUGGCGAAGGCAGCUCUCUGGCCUGAUACUGACGCUGAGGUGCGAAAGCGUGGGGAGCAAACAGGAUUAGAUACCCCAGUAGUC
rnacentral:rRNA from 1 species